rnacentral:rRNA from 1 species
UGGGGAAUAUUGGACAAUGGAUCGAGAGUCUGAUCCAGCAAUUCUGUGUGCACGAUGAAGUUUUUCGGAAUGUAAAGUGCUUUCAGUUGGGAAGAAAUAAAUGACGGUACCAACAGAAGAAGUGACGGCUAAAUACGUGCCAGCAGCCGCGGUAAUACGUAUGUCACGAGCGUUAUCCGGAUUUAUUGGGCGUAAAGCGCGUCUAGGUGGUUAUGUAAGUCUGAUGUGAAAAUGCAGGGCUCAACUCUGUAUUGCGUUGGAAACUGUAUAACUAGAGUACUGGAGAGGUAAGCGGAACUACAAGUGUAGAGGUGAAAUUCGUAGAUAUUUGUAGGAAUGCCGAUGGGGAAGCCAGCUUACUGGACAGAUACUGACGCUAAAGCGCGAAAGCGUGGGUAGCAAACAGGAUUAGAUACCCUGGUAGUCCACGCUGUAAACGAUGAUUACUAGGUGUUGGGGGUCGAACCUCAGCGCCCAAGCAAACGCGAUAAGUAAUCCGCCUGGGGAGUACGUACGCAAGUAUG